rnacentral:rRNA from 1 species
UACGUAGGGGGCAAGCGUUGUCCGGAAUUAUUGGGCGUAAAGAGCGUGUAGGCGGUCCGGUAAGUCCGCUGUGAAAGUCCAGGGCUCAACCCUGGAAUGCCGGUGGAUACUGCCGGGCUAGAGUCCGGAAGAGGCGAGUGGAAUUCCUGGUGUAGCGGUGAAAUGCGCAGAUAUCAGGAGGAACACCGAUUGCGAAGGCAGCUCGCUGGGACGGUACUGACGCUGAGACGCGAAGCGUGGGGAGCGAACAGGAUUAGAU